rnacentral:rRNA from 1 species
GACGAACGCUGGCGGCGUGCUUAACACAUGCAAGUCGAACGGAAAGGCCCUGCUUUUGUGGGGUGCUCGAGUGGCGAACGGGUGAGUAACACGUGAGUAACCUGCCCUUGACUUUGGGAUAACUUCAGGAAACUGGGGCUAAUACCGGAUAGGAGCUCCUGCUGCAUGGUGGGGGUUGGAAAGUUUCGGCGGUUGGGGAUGGACUCGGGGCUUAUCAGCUUGUUGGUGGGGUAGUGGCUUACCAAGGCUUGGACGGGUAGCCGGCCUGGGAGGGUGACCGGCCAAAUUGGGACUGGGAGGCGGCCCAGGGGACUACGGGGGGAAGGAGUGGAGAAUGUUGCACAAGGGGCGGAAGCCUGAAGCAGGAACGCCGCGGGCGGGAGGACGGCGUUCGGGUUGUAAGCCGCUGUGGCCGGUAACGAAGCGUGGGUGACGGUAAUGAGUAGAGAAGCACCGGCUAACUACGU